GAUGAAGAACGUAGCGAAAUGCGAUAAGUAAUGUGAAUUGCAGAAUUCAGUGAAUCAUCGAAUCUUUGAACGCACAUUGCGCCCCCUGGUAUUCCGGGGGGCAUGCCUGUCCGAGCGUCAUUACAACCCUCAAGCUCAGCUAGGUGUUGGGCCCCGCCGCCCCGGCGGGCCCUAAAGUCAGUGGCGGUGCCGUCCGGCUCCGAGCGUAGUAAUUCUUCUCGCUCUGGAGGUCCGGUCGUGUGCUCGCCAGCAACCCCCAAUUUUUUUCAGGUUGACCUCGGAUCAGGUAGGGAUACCCGCUGAACUUAAGCAUAUCAAUAAGCGGAGGA
rnacentral:misc_RNA from 1 species